ACCUGGUAAGUUUCCUCAUGUUGAGUCAAAUUAAGCCGUAGGCUCCACUCCUAGUGGUGCCCUUCCAUCAAUUCCUUAAGUUUCAGCCUUGCGACCAUACUCCCCCCGAAACCCAAAAACUUUGAUUUCUCAUAAGGUACCGACGAAGUCCUAUAAGCAACAUUCGUCGAUCCCUGGUCAGCAUCGUUUAUGGUUGAGACUAGGACCAUAUCUGAUCGUCUUCGAGCCCCUAAC
rnacentral:lncRNA from 1 species